rnacentral:piRNA from 1 species
UGAUUUCAGGCCUGAUCACUUAGUACUGGU